CCCUUAGAUGUCCUGGGCUGCAUGCGCGCUACACUGAUGUGUCCAGUAAGCACCUAACCUAUUCCGAGAGGAGCGGGUAACCUUAGCAAAGCACAUCGUGAUGGGGAUAGAUUAUUGCAAUUAUUAGUCUUGAACGAGGAAUUCCUAGUAAGCACAAGUCAUCAGCUUGUGUUGAUUACGUCCCUGCCCUUUGUACACACCGCCCGUCGCUCCUACCGAUUGAAUGUUCCGGUGAGCUCUUCGGACUGCGCGGUCUGCAGUUUCUGCGUUCCGUGCGGAAAGUUGUGCAAACCUUAACAUUUAGAGGAAGGAGAAGUCGUAACA
rnacentral:rRNA from 1 species